UUGUGAAGAGUGUCUGUUAUUCUUUUCUGAACUUCACAUUAUAUUCUAUUAAAUUUUCAGAAAAAAGUUUGUAAAAAUACUCAGUAAUUAACAUACUACUCCUCAUGAAAUGAAAGAUUUUUAUUUCUUAUCUUUUAGUGAUGAAAAUUAAUAAAUGAGAUUUGGCUUUUGAUUUGAUGAUUGCGAGCUUCAGAGAGAAAAAUGGAAAAUAGCUUGAAUAUUCUUAAGUUUUCCAUUUCUCUAGAUGUAAAUGCAUCACACGUCAUACGCUAGCUAAUACAAAGAAUUUGAAUGUCAUUUUUGACUCACCUUAUGUAGAUUGAUUAAAUCUAAUGUAUCCAAAGGGAGUCCUAUUAAAACUCUGAAUUUCUUACUUUAUUAUUUAAUGCAUAGAGAUUUGGAAGGUAAAAAGGUUGUGUUGUUUUCGACAUUUGAAGAUGUUUUUUGGAAAUGUUUUUGGAGAAAAUUUCUGAAAAACCAUUUUUGUUUGGAUGAUUGUUAUUUCAAAAGUAAUUCUGAAAAACUAACCGUGUUUGACUGGAUGUUUAUGAGAAAGCAGAAGAACAAAAAAGCGACCUAUCAUUUUAAUGAACUUCCAAUCAAACCCUUCAUAUGAAGAGAAACUUUACUUGAUCAUUUGAUUAUUCAUAAUCUCUCAUUAGUUUUAGUCUCCCAUGCCACACUGGUGCAAUUUUUGGCAUGGAACUUGAAUUAGCAUCCUUUACUUACCUACUGCAUCAGAUUUUCUUUAACCAUAAUGUGUUCCAAAUCGGUGUUCCCUUUCCACUAUUCCAUUAAAAUAUUGUUGCCGCUGAUAUUUUUAUGUAGAAAAAGAGACAGCAAAUCAAGCUGCAGAUAAUUUGAAUGAAGUUCUCAAUCAUUUGGAUCUAAGGAGAAAAGAGAGGUCCAAUAGAGGCUAAUAGGUUGAAGGCAUUGCUAAGAGCUGUUUCUCUACUGCUUUAAUCAAGUCUACUUGAUUGUUUCUACAUAAAGCCCGAUAAAGAUUGAUUGUAAAAUUCAAUAGGAAACUCAAGAAGUGUUACUACAAAGUGAAUCUACAUCCUUCGUGUUAGUUUCAAGUAUUGUAUUGAACAUUAUACUCAUCGCGGACUUUUUCAAUGACAAUGAUUAGAUUUUCUAAAUAUUUAAAGUAUGUGGUAUCAUUGUUUGUAUUAUGGACGUUCUUACUUUUCAGAUGUGACAUUUUUGUUUUGUUUUUCAUUAUUUUCAGAUAAAUAUAGCCUGCUGAAGCUGGCGCUCUAGAUCUUUCCUCCCUAGCCACUUCUGCAUAGAGGAGGAUAAUAUAAUUCUUCACUCCAACCCUGGAAGGCAGGGAGCUCACCAAGUAAGUUAGGCUCAACCGUUAAUCUGUACCAGGAAUACUAGAACAAAUGCUAUUUGAAUUAUAUUGGCCUUAUUUAAUAUUUUUUUUUAGUUUAGUAACUAAACCGACUUAUUUUUCGUGUUGCACGGGCUUGCCACCAUCUAGUAAUCUUAUAAACAUUCAUUAUUUAUAAAGUAUGCAUCCAAUAGUA